rnacentral:tRNA from 1 species
UUUAAAUAGUUUAAAAAGAAUAAGACUUUGAAGAAGUUUAGGUAGAAUAUAUCUUUUAAAAGA